UCUGUUUGAUCUAUUUAUAGACAUUCUAAUAAACUCAUGUAUAUAUGGAUCCAUGAUCCAAUUCUACGUGUAAUCUGUGAAGUAUAUGUGAAUGUUUACGCAUCGUAUUUCUAUUUUUACAUUAUAACGUUUCAAGAAAUCAUACAUCAAGUAAAAAUAUAUUUGACGGAAAUAUAUAUAUAGCAAAGAAGACAAACUUAUCGGAGAAAUAAUUGACAAGUUGAAUAUUUAUUGCGGCCUCGCUAUAAUGUA